rnacentral:sRNA from 1 species
AUAACAGCUCGAAGAAUAAAAUAUAAAGAUACAUUAGUGUCGAGGAGAAGCAGAUCAUAGACUGUAAUAGCUCACAAGGAAACACUGAGCUGUAUACAAACGCCUCAUAAUUACCUUAUUAAAUAUUUAUGUUUAAAGAAACUACCAGACCAUUUUCCAAUGAAUGUCUUGGUACCACCAGACCGGUAGUUCCUAUUGAUUCAUCAGAUUUUGCAUUGGAUAUUCGCAUGCCUGGGGUUACACCUAAACAGUCCGAUACAUACUUCUGCAUGUCUAUGCGAAUACCAGUGGAUGAGGAAGCCUUCGUGAUUGACUUCAAGCCUCGAGCCAGCAUGGAUACUGUCCAUCAUAUGUUACUUUUUGGAUGCAAUAUGCCUUCAUCCACUGGAAGUUACUGGUUUUGUGAUGAAGGAACCUGUACAGAUAAAGCCAAUAUUCUGUAUGCCUGGGCAAGAAAUGCUCCCCCUACCCGGCUCCCCAAAGGUGUUGGAUUCAGAGUUGGAGGAGAGACUGGAAGUAAAUACUUUGUACUACAGGUACACUAUGGGGAUAUUAGUGCUUUUAGAGAUAAUAACAAGGACUGUUCUGGUGUGUCCUUACACCUCAC